GGGGGAUUAGCUCAGUUGGGAAGAGUAUCUGUUUUGCAAUCAGAAGGUCAUCGGUUCGAACCCGAUAUCCUCCAC
rnacentral:tRNA from 1 species